UACGGAGGGGACUAGCGUUGUUCGGAAUUACUGGGCGUAAAGCGCACGUAGGCGGAUUUGUAAGUCAGGGGUGAAAUCCCGGGGCUCAACCCCGGAACUGCCUUUGAUACUGCGAAUCUCGAGUCCGGAAGAGGUGAGUGGAAUUCCUAGUGUAGAGGUGAAAUGCGUAGAGAUCAGGAGGAACACCUGUGGUGUAGACAGCUUACUGGACGGUCACUGACGCUGAGGCACGAAAGCGUGGGUAGCAAACAGG
rnacentral:rRNA from 1 species